rnacentral:rRNA from 1 species
UGGGGAAUUUUGGACAAUGGGCGAAAGCCUGAUCCAGCAAUGCCGCGUGUGUGAAGAAGGCCUUCGGGUUGUAAAGCACUUUUGUCCGGAAAGAAAUCCUUGGCUCUAAUACAGUCGGGGGAUGACGGUACCGGAAGAAUAAGCACCGGCUAACUACGUGCCAGCAGCCGCGGUAAUACGUAGGGUGCAAGCGUUAAUCGGAAUUACUGGGCGUAAAGCGUGCGCAGGCGGUUUGCUAAGACCGAUGUGAAAAUCCCCGGGCUCAAACCUGGGAACUGCAUUGGUGACUGGCAGGCUAGAGUAUGGCAGAGGGGGGUAGAAUUCCACGUGUAGCAGUGAAAAUGCGUAGAGAUGUGGAGGAAUACCGAUGGCGAAGGCAGCCCCCUGGGCCAAAUACUGACGCUCAUGCACGAAAAGCGUGGGGAGCAAAACAGGAUUAGAUACCCUGGUAGUCCACGCCCUAAAACGAUGUC